rnacentral:ncRNA from 1 species
GUGCUCAAGCUUGUGUUCAACUUUUUCCCCCUCCCGUUUCCUUCUUGUCAAUUUGACUUUAUACCUUUGGGUGAAACAGGAUUAUUUAAAGAGAUUUCUAGUUUUAAAUUUUGAAGAACGAAUUAGAAGAGCCCUCUUCCCCCCAAACUUAAAAGAGCAGGAGUAAAGUUGUUUUUAAACUGAAAGGAUAUUGGCAGGUUUCUAAAAAAAGGAGUGGAGGUUGAGUGAUAAUUGAGAACCCUCAUUAACUACUUGGUCUGUUGAUUCAUGUAUGAUCGUUUAGUAUAUUCUUAAAGAUUAUAGUUGAAAGUGGGGGAUCUAUUAAAACAGUGAUAUACCUGGUCUAUGAUUCUUUUUUAUAUUUGACGUAGGCUAUUCUAAGAUGUGGAUAAUUAAGGUAGUUCUUGAUUUGAAAAUGUAAGAGACAGUAAAGAAUUCUUCAUGGAGCUUGAAGAUUAUCUAGAGGCGGUACAAAUCAUCCAUCAAUUCCCUAUUUUUGGAGGGGGGGGUAGAAAAGUACACCCCC